rnacentral:rRNA from 1 species
AUGGCGACCGGCGCACGGGUGAGUAACACGUAUCCAACCUGCCGAUGACUCGGGGGAUAGCCUUUCGAAAGAAAGAUUAAUACCCGAUGGCAUAGUUCUUCCGCAUGGUGGAACUAUUAAAGAAUUUCGGUCAUCGAUGGGGAUGCGUUCCAUUAGGUUGUUGGCGGGGUAACGGCCCACCAAGCCUUCGAUGGAUAGGGGUUCUGAGAGGAAGGUCCCCCACAUUGGAACUGAGACACGGUCCAAACUCCUACGGGAGGCAGCAUG